GUGACCCUAUUCUAUACCAACAUUUAUUUUGAUUCUUUGGGCACUCCGAAGCUAAAUCCUUAUCCCACCAGGUUUUGGAAUAAUUUCUCAUAUUGUAACAUACUACUCCAGCAAAAAAGAACCAUUUGGCUUCAUGGGCAUGGUGUGAGCCAAGAUCG